AGUUGUUUACUGAAAACAGACUUGUUUUGAAAGCAGGCUUUGAGGGUUUAAAUCCCUCAACAACUU
rnacentral:tRNA from 1 species